AUUGCUUCCAUGGUUCCAUUGACGGCGGCCGGCGUCGAGCGAAGCCGCAGUGGGAAUGCAUGCCUUGCUUAUGAGAACAAAUUGAGUAAAAAGAAGAUGGAUAGUUGAUGGAGGGAUUGGCCCAUUGAAGAGUCACUACGAUUAUUUGAAGACAUGCGACGUAGGUUGCUUUCUGAGGGCGCAACAACUCUCCGAAUGAAGCAGGACAUGCAGAAUAAUAACAAAAAUAUGUCUGAUUUAACUGCAUAUAGAAUAAAAUUCACUCCUCAUCCACAUGCUGGUGACAGAUGGUGUAUCUAUCCAAGCUAUAAUUAUGCCCAUUGCAUGGUGGACUCAUUUGAAACAUUACACCCUCAGCAAGUUUCCCCCCGUAGCUUUGGCUUGUUUGAAGUAUAUAAUAUGACUAAUCGAGUGGUUAAUUAUUAGUUGUGCACGCUUGAGUUUGACAUACGUCGCCCGUCAUACUACUGGCUACUUGAUCCCUUGGGCUUGUACCAGCCUCAUGUCUGGAAGUACUAAAGGCUGAGCAUAUCCAAUACAGUGAUGUCUAAGAUAAAGAGAAGUAGGUAGAUGGGUAGGAUGAUCUUCGUCUGUUGACACUGGCAGGACUUUGGCGACAGGGAGUGUAAGAAACUGCAAUUAAUAUAUUUAUCUGUGAAAUUGGAAUGACAAGAAGUCACAAUAGCUUUAUUCGUGCCGAACAUCUUGAAUAUCAUAUUAUAUCAUAGAAGAACUUGAUUAAAAAAGCUUCUUGAACCAUGGUUAUUCUGCAUCCUCUAAAGGUUGUAAUAACUAACUUGGAGGAUGGAAAAGUCACAGACCUUGAUGGAAAAAAGUAGCCUGAUGCUCCUGUUGAUGAUGCUGUAGUAUGUAGACAUUGUAAAAUAAUCCAUUUUUUAAAUCUAACCUUUCAUGUUACCUGAAGCAAGUAAAGACGCAAAUCUGAUUAUGGUCGCAUGUUGUUUGUGCCUGAACGAGAUUGACAAGAAUUAAUGGAGGUGCGAUGGUGCAAGUAUGAUUUCUCAAAUACGUUACUUUCCUUCGCAAAUUUUCGUUUGUUCUCAGUGCAUCAUCAUAUUUGCAAUUUGCAACCUGUAGACAUUCAAUUUGAUGCUUUGGCUAAUACUCACUAUAGAUUGUUUUGCAGAACACUAAUUAAACUGAGGUUUUAGUGGUACGAUAUAGACGUGGAAUUGUUUAUGAGAAAGGGAUGGUAGCCUUCUUAUGUGAGAAAAUGACCAAUUACUCCCAUGCAGCAUGAUGUGUGGAAAUAUUGGUUUUUCCCUACCUUGAUUUGUACAAGGAUAAAAGUGUUCUAAUGAGUAAUUAGCUCAUUGGCAUAAUAAAUAUGAAUAUGUUUCAUUCCUCCGCGUAUCUUUAAGCUUAUGGUCAAUAUUGUCUUUAUAUGUACGCUUUGUACUGUCAUACAUCAUUAACACCAAAAUAGUUUGCCAUUUACACAAUAUUCACAUAGAUUGUGGCCUCAAAUGAACAAGUCCAUGGUGUUAGUCUUGCUGAUUUCUAAUUCUCUUGGUUCUCCUACCUCUGCAUAGCAUAACAGUUCUCUUGAUCUAUCUUUUUUAUAGAUUGUAUAGGCUACUAUGUAUGAUGUGGAGAUGCUACACUCACUGGCCCUCAAAGACUAAAAGGUGGAAGUUCUGGAUGGUAAAGGAUUCUCGGUAAAUAUACCUUGGAGCCAUGAAAUAUCCUAAGUUCCCAUAUGUGCAGACCUUACAUACGGAGAAGAAAUGUAUUUUUCUAUAGAAAAAAUAUGCUACUGCUAGGUGUAAUAGAUUUUCCUACAUUUUAUAGGUCUACUUGUUGGCUGAUGAUCUACCAUUGAUCCUUAUGCAUA